rnacentral:rRNA from 1 species
UACAGAGGAGCCAAGCGUUGUCCGGAUUGACUGGGCGUAAAGCGCACGCAGGCGGUUGCGCGCGGGGGGGGUGAAAUCUGGCCGCUUAACGGCCAGGCGCCAUCCCAUACGGCGCGACUGGAGUGAUGCAGAGGUCGAUGGAAUUGCCGGUGUAGUGGUGAAAUGCGUAGAGAUCGGCAGGAACACCCGUGGCGUAAGCGGCCACCUAGCCCGCACCUGACGCUGAGGCGCGACAGCGUGGGGAGCGAACGGG